rnacentral:rRNA from 1 species
AUUGAACGCUGGCGGCAGGCCUAACACAUGCAAGUCGAACGGAGUGGCGGACGGGUGAGUAAUGGAUAGGAAUGUGCCCAGUAGUGGGGGAUAACGACCGGAAACGGGCGCUAAUACCGCAUACUAUUGGAGGCGCCUAGGUCGGAUUGGCUAGUUGGUGGGGUAAAGGCUCACCAAGGCGACGAUCCGUAGCUGGUGUGAGAGGAUGAGCAGUCACACUGGAACUGAGACACGGUCCAGACGCCUACGGGAGGCAGCAGUGGGGAAUAUUGGACAAUGGGCGAAAGCCUGAUCCAGCCAUGCCGCGUGUGUGAAGAAGGCCUUCGGGUUGUAAAGCACUUUAAGCUGGGAGGCGUUACCAGCAGAAUAAGCACCGGCUAACUCCGUGCCAGCAGCCGCGGUAAUAC